CCUACGGGAGGCAGCAGUAGGGAAUCUUCCGCAAUGGACGAAAGUCUGACGGAGCAACGCCGCGUGAACGAUGAAGGCCUUCGGGUCGUAAAGUUCUGUUGUUAGGGAAGAACAAGUGCUAGUUAAAUAAGCUGGCACCUUGACGGUACCUAACCAGAAAGCCACGGCUAACUACGUGCCAGCAGCCGCGGUAAUACGUAGGUGGCAAGCGUUGUCCGGAAUUAUUGGGCGUAAAGCGCGCGCAGGCGGUUUCUUAAGUCUGAUGUGAAAGCCCCCGGCUCAACCGGGGAGGGUCAUUGGAAACUGGGAAACUUGAGUGCAGAAGAGGAAAGUGGAAUUCCAAGUGUAGCGGUGAAAUGCGUAGAGAUUUGGAGGAACACCAGUGGCGAAGGCGACUUUCUGGUCUGUAACUGACGCUGAGGCGCGAAAGCGUGGGGAGCAAACAGGAUUAGAUACCCUGGUAGUCCACGCUGUAAACGAUGAGUGCUAAGUGUUAGAGGGUUUCCGCCCUUUAGUGCUGAAGUUAACGCAUUAAGCACUCCGCCUGGGGAUACGGUCGCAAGACUGAAACUCAAAGGAAUUGACG
rnacentral:rRNA from 1 species